rnacentral:lncRNA from 1 species
ACUUUCAUUUCUUCAUUUCUUAAGCUCCUUUGACCUUCAAACUCGUCCAUUCCUUGUGCUCCAAGCAUGUACUUUCCAAUCUAAGCUCCAUUUUGCUCCAAAAGGCUCCAAUUUGCAUCCUUUUAUGUAAUAUGCCCUUAAACCUGAAAACAUAUGAAACUAGCUUAAAAGACUACUUUAAACUAAGAAAACAUAACAAAAAUGCAUAAGAACUAGUUAACUAAGGUGCAUAAAUAUGCUCCUAUCAAAUUCCCCCACACUUAGCUUUUGCUAGUCCUCGAGCAAAACAAAGAAACAAAACAAAACAAAAACACAAUCUAAACCUUCCAACAAUUGCCUCAGGGAUUUUCAAUGCACGUGACAGAUUAAAAAUCAUCAUUCUCACAUAUUUUAGUCAUCUUUACACUUAAGCACAUACUUAAUCAUAAUCACCACUUACUUGUUCACAUUUAAGCAAUUAAAACAAUGUUUUUGAUGUAGUAACAUGCCUUAGAGAAUUCACUCAAUUCCUUACAAGAUAUGCACUCAAUUUUCACUCAGAUUUUUUAACUACACACCCUACACUAGUCAUAUGUGAGAAGAUUGAUGUAGAUAUGAAAACGAAUGCUCACAUAUAUGUAUUACCAAGAAAGCAAUUUCUAGAGUUAAUAAGCAUGUUUAGAUAUGAUCUCAUGAAUGGAAUGCUACUACUUAGAUGCGAGAACCAGGGACACCAUAUGUUCAUACCAAAUUCAAACUCCACAAAUUGAAACACAUAACACUCAAGAUGGAAGUCAAGGGUUGUAAUAGGGCUUGGGGUAUUGGUUAACAAAGAAUGGUAAGGGAAAACAACCGUUCUUAAAGGAAUAGUAAGCAGAGCACUGAAAUCUAGACUUAGAAUUCACUUUAGAAUGCAGAAAUCAACUUUUAGACACGAAGGGAAGAUUCAAGCAAUAUUUAGGGCCGAAUUCAAAGUUUUGGACGCUUUCUUCAACAAACAAUACUUUGGGACUCUUUUUCACAUCUUUGCAACUCCUUUUCAUUCUUUUCACACAAUGUUUCUUUUUCUUUUUCUUUUUCCACAAAUUUCAUUUUUUUUUUCUUCUUUUCUUGCCGUGUUCUAUGGCACCCAAAAUACCCAAAUUGAAACCUUUCCCCCACACUUGUUUUCUGCCAAAUAUAAAUCAAAAGGAAUUCAAUUUGAAUCAUGCUUUACUAUGCUUCAAGAACAAGGGUAUGGAUGGUCCUAAUCUAGGCUAGGUGAGGAUAAUGUGGGUUAACAAACAACAUAGGCUAAACAAGGCUCGACGGGGUUAAACUUAA